ACCACUGAGCUAAAUCCCCGGCCCCAAAAAAAAUUUUUUUAAAGGAAAAGUUGUGGGCCGGGGAUUUAGCUCAGUGGC
rnacentral:pre_miRNA from 1 species